rnacentral:rRNA from 1 species
UACGGAGGGUGCAAACGUUGCUCGGAAUUAUUGGGCGUAAAGAGCUCGUAGGCGGUUUGUCGCGUCUGCUGUGAAAUCCCGAGGCUCAACCUCGGGUCUGCAGUGGGUACGGGCAGACUGGAGUGCGGUAGGGGAGAAUGGAAUUCCUGGUGUAGCGGUGGAAUGCGCAGAUAUCAGGAGGAACACCAGUGGCGAAGGCGGCACUCUGGGCCGGAACUGACGCUGAGGAGCGAAAGCGUGGGGAGCGAACAGG